CGGAAGGGCACCACCAGCGGGGGAGCCAGCGGCUUAAUUUAACUCAAAACGGGGAAACUCACCAGGUCCAAAACGAGGAAGGAUUGACAGAUUGAUGGUUCUUUCUUGAUACUUUGGGUGGGGGUGAAUGGCCGUUCUUACUCGGGGGAUUGAUUUGUUUGGAAAUUUCCAUUAACGAACGAUACCUUAACCUGCUAAAUAGGGUGCGAUACUUGAUUUCUUUCCCGCUUCUUAAAGGGACUUUGCGGUCAUAAAUCCCAAGGAACUUUAAGGCAAUAACAGGUCUGUGAUGCCCUUAAAUGUCCUGGGCUGCACGCGCGCUACACUGAUGCAUUCACUGAGUGUAUCCUUGGCUGAAAGGCUUGGGUAAUCUUGAGUAUGCAUCGUGAUGGGGAUUGAUUAUAGCAAUUCUAAAUCAUGAACGAG
rnacentral:rRNA from 1 species